rnacentral:misc_RNA from 1 species
CCUGCGGAAGGAUCAUUAACAAAUGUCCUUUGACAAAGUUUUGUGCCGGUUCGCCGGCCAGAGUUUCAACCUUUUGUGAACAAACUUAUAUUCGCUUCGGCAGCUGGUCCGGGCUUGCGCCCGGCUGUGAGCCUGCCGGCAGCAACAAAUCAAACUUGCAUUUAUAACCUGUCUGAAACCAUUCUAAAUCUGAAUGAAAAUUAAAACUUUCAACAACGGAUCUCUUGGUUCUCGCAUCGAUGAAGAACGCAGCGAAACGCGAUAGUUAAUGUGAAUUGCAGAAUUCAGUGAAUCAUCGAGUCUUUGAACGCACAUUGCGCCCAUUGGUAUUCCGAUGGGCACGUCUGUUUGAGCGUCAUUGCAACCCCUCAGCCGGCUUCUGCUGGUCUGGUAUUGGGCUCGGGCACCCUUCAUGGGGCUCCGGCUUUAAAGUUGCACGCUCUGCGGACCCUGCCGCCUCAAGAACAUAGUAUAACGCUAACUGCUCUGAAAGGCGCGCUGGGCUUCCGCCUGAACAAACUCUCUUACUAAGGU